GGUGUUUUUGGGGUGUUUUGCUACCUAGGGUGAGUAUGGACGAAUUUCUGUGAUGAAUGGUGAAUAUGGGGGAUUGUCCUUUGGCCAAGGGGUGUAAACAUGUAUUUAUAGGCCCCAAAAACCUUAGAAAAUCAGGUUAGGUUAAGGAUGAAAUGCAUGGCAAUUUGUGUGUGUGGUGUGCAAUGGUCCAAGGGUGAAAAUGAAGCAAUGAUGCAAAGUGUGAAGGGUAAAAUGGAGUGGUGUUAUAGCUAGGGAGCAUGAAUGAUUGUGUACAUUGCAUAGAGAUGGAAAGGGAGGUGAAAUGUGUCAACAAAU
rnacentral:lncRNA from 1 species